rnacentral:rRNA from 1 species
GGGAAAACUUUAAGUCUUUGGGCUCCGGGGGGAGUAUGGUUGCAAAGCUGAAACUUAAAGGAAUUGA